AAUACAGCGGUUCCCGUACGAUCGUCCAAGUUAAGCCACAUCGAGCAUAGUCAGUACUUAGAUGAAUGAACGUUUGGGAAUACCAAGAGCUGUAA